GAGAGAGAGAGAGAGAGUUGGAAGUUGGGAACAUCUCCAGUUUUAAAAGCCCCUCAGGUAUACCCCACGAGUGGCUGGAGUUUGGAACUACUGGCCUAAAUCUGGAUCUACUUCUCACCCUGACUCAAGUGGCAGCUGGGACAGGACUUAACAGAAUUCCAGAAUCGUCGCCCUUUAUUUAAAAUAAGCCAACUGCACAUUCCAUGCCUCUGAGGCAAAACGUGCUCACAAGACAGGAAUGCUUCUAAAGUGAAAUGCCAACAAGAUGAAGAGAAAGGAAUGCCCAGAGAGGCAUUUCCAGGUAGUCUGCAGUUAGAGAAUGACUCUGUGUGCGGGACAGGAAGCUGCAGAAAACCUCAGAUUCUCAAGCUCCAGUGUGGCUCUGCAAAAGCAAAAUGAUGGCAGUAUGCAGAACAAGACAGAACCGGAAGGAGCAAGGAAGGGCAAUGGAAGAAAUGUGAUCAAGCUUCUAUUUUUAGAAAGUUUAUUUGAGGAUGGUGAGUUGGAGUCUGGAAGCCGAGAAUACACGAAGGAGAUUGUUGCAAACUCAAUGAUGUCUACACUAAUAUAAAGGUGGCCAGACCCUGAAAAGCUUAGGUUGGUAUAAAGGAGAUUCAAAUACAUGUCUUACAUAUGCUUAAGAAAUCGAGCUACAGGAAGAGACAAGGCAGAAGAAGCCAUCUGCCUGGAAGGUAUGCAAGAUCCAAGAGUGAGUGUGCAAAGGAAGAGAGCUUCAGUCUUCUAAGAUCAUGGGCAGUGAAGAGGUCAAAGACUCUAAGCUGCGUAAAGAACAUCAAGACCAAGGCAGACAGCGUCCGGGGCUCAUAAAAGCCAGCAGGAACACUGUGCUUCCAGCUGUUUAGCACGCAAAGUCCCUUCCUUCAAAACAGUGCCACACCUCUUCUCUAAGAAAUCUGCCAGCGUAUCUCCGCAGUAAGGAGUUAUUCCAUUCAUGGACUCACUGGUGCGUGCUCAGGGCUGGCCCAUGAGGAAUGGAGAGCUUUUGAUGACACUGGGCCAAGGGACUGAGAAGACUAGAGACCUGCUGCAGCUUGUUCGUCCUUCUUCCCUGUGAU